rnacentral:rRNA from 1 species
UGCGUAGGCGGAUUAAUAAGUCAGUGGUGAAAUCUCUCGGCUCAACCGGGAAACUGCCAUUGAUACUGUUAAUCUUGAAUUCGGUUGAGGUAGGCGGAAUGUGUAAUGUAGCGGUGAAAUGCUUAGAUAUUACACAGAACACCAAUUGCGUAGGCAGCUUACUAGACCGACACUGACGCUGAGGCACGAAAGCGUGGGUAGCGAACAGGAUUAGAUACCCUGGUAGUCC